CGCAUCUGUGCAUGCAGCAUAUCAAUAAGCGGAGGAAAAGAAACUAACUAGGAUUCCCCUAGUAACGGCGAGUGAAGCGGGAAGAGCUCAAAUUUGAAAUCUUAAAGGGUUUCCCUUUACGAAUUGUAGUUUAAAGAAGUGUUUUCUGUUGAGGUUUUGGUAAAGUUCUUUGGAAUAGGACAUCAUAGAGGGUGAGAAUCCCGUAUUUGACCUUUACUUUCAACUUUGUGAUACACUUUCAUAGAGUCGGAUUGUUUGGGAAUGCAGUCCAAAAUGGGUGGUAAAUUUCAUCUAAAGCUAAAUAUUGGCGAGAGACCGAUAGCGAACAAGUAGCCGUGAGGGAAAGAUGAAAAGAACUUUGAAAAGAGAGUUAAACAGUACGUGAAAUUGUCAAAAGGGAAGCGUUUGACACCAGUGUUGUUUUUCUGAAAAUCAAUUAAAGAACUGUUUAUGCUAAGUUGUUUAGACUUUAUCAGCUAUCUGUUUAGUUUUAGGCUUUUCUUUAAUGCACUUUUCAGUUAACAAGUCAACAUCAAUUUCUUUUGCUGUAAAAAAGCUUGAGGAAGGUGGCUUGAGAUUCGUCUUAAGUGUUUAUAGCCUCUUGCCUAUGCAGUCGGAGAGAUUGAGGUCUGCAGCGUAGAUCCUUCGGGGCUAAAUGCAUUUGUGCUAAGUUAUAACAUUUUAUAGACAACUUGUUGACUAUGAUUUGUCUUGUAGCUUACUCGCUUAUGUUAUUUUACCUACGCUUAGGAUGUUGAACGCGCACAGAGUCUC
rnacentral:rRNA from 1 species